CCUACGGGGAGCAGCAGUGGGGAAUAUUGGACAAUGGGCGAAAGCCUGAUCCAGCCAUGCCGCGUGUGUGAAGAAGGCCUUCGGGUUGUAAAGCACUUUCAGUGGGGAAGAAAGCCUUGGGGCUAAUACCCUCGAGGAAGGACAUCACCCACAGAAGAAGCACCGGCUAACUCCGUGCCAGCAGCCGCGGUAAUACGGAGGGUGCGAGCGUUAAUCGGAAUUACUGGGCGUAAAGCGCGCGUAGGCGGUCUGAUAAGCCGGUUGUGAAAGCCCCGGGCUCAACCUGGGAACGGCAUCCGGAACUGUCAGGCUAGAGUGCAGGAGAGGAAGGGAGAAUUCCCGGUGUAGCGGUGAAAUGCGUAGAGAUCGGGAGGAAUAACAGUGGCGAAGGCGGCCUUCUGGACUGACACUGACGCUGAGGUGCGAAAGCGUGGGUAGCAAACAGGAUUAGAUACCCGAGUAGUC
rnacentral:rRNA from 1 species